CCCUUGCCCUCGCUGCUCGCUCUCGCCCUCUUCGUCUCGGUCUCGCUCGCCCUCAAUCGCUCUCGCCUUCGCCCUAAAAAAAGGUAUUUAUAAAUUGUUGUCAUGAAUCCACAACUGGAAGUACAUGCACUUGAGAAUGGGGAAUCCAACUGUCUUAGUGGAGUUUAUAAUGGCAUUGUUACUGAAGAAACAGAAGAUAAGUUCAAAGGCAUGCCCCUAAGAAAGCAAGGAUGUUAUGCCGAUCUUCCUGCUACUAAAAUUUUGGAAUUGAUGAAACUAAAAAAUUUGGAGAACUCGUCAACUCAGUCACUUUUUAGUGCUGCAAAUAAGGUGCUAGAUGACAGCAUUGAGAGAAAGAAUGGAGACAUACGUCCUGUAUGAUAACUGUAAAUUAUAAAUUGUAGCAUGGUUGAAAUUUGCAUCUAUUAGGUGUCACUCUAUACUUCAUAUCUUGGCUUUGCCUUUAACUUUUGUAGGAACUCUUCUAUUUGGUU